rnacentral:rRNA from 1 species
CUAUUUUUGAGAGUUUGAUCCUGGCUCAGAACGAACGCUGGCGGCGCGCCUAAUACAUGCAAGUCGAGCGAGAAGACGUAGCAAUACGUUUGUAAAGCGGCGAACGGGUGAGGAAUACAUGGGUAACCUACCCUCGAGUGGGGAAUAACUAGCCGAAAGGUUAGCUAAUACCGCAUACGACUCUUGGUCUGCGGAUCGGGAGGGAAAGCGAUACCGUGGGUAUCGCGCUCCUGGAUGGGCUCAUGUCCUAUCAGCUUGUUGGUGA